UUGAACGCUGGCGGCAGGCCUAACACAUGCAAGUCGAACGGUAACAGGAAGAAGCUUGCUUCUUUGCUGACGAGUGGCGGACGGGUGAGUAAUGUCUGGGAAACUGCCUGAUGGAGGGGGAUAACUACUGGAAACGGUAGCUAAUACCGCAUAACGUCGCAAGACCAAAGAGGGGGACCUUCGGGCCUCUUGCCAUCGGAUGUGCCCAGAUGGGAUUAGCUAGUAGGUGGGGUAACGGCUCACCUAGGCGACGAUCCCUAGCUGGUCUGAGAGGAUGACCAGCCACACUGGAACUGAGACACGGUCCAGACUCCUACGGGAGGCAGCAGUGGGGAAUAUUGCACAAUGGGCGCAAGCCUGAUGCAGCCAUGCCGCGUGUAUGAAGAAGGCCUUAGGGUUGUAAAGUACUUUCAGCGGGGAGGAAGGGAGUAAAGUUAAUACCUUUGCUCAUUGACGUUACCCGCAGAAGAAGCACCGGCUAACUCCGUG
rnacentral:rRNA from 1 species